CCCUUAGAUGUUCUGGGCCGCACGCGCGCUACACUGACGAAUGCAACGAGCUUAUAAUAACCUUGGCCGAAAGGUCUGGGUAAUCUCCAAAUUUCGUCGUGAUGGGGAUAGAUUAUUGCAAUUAUUAAUCUUCAACGAGGAAUGCCUAGUAAGCGCAAGUCAUCAGCUUGCGUUGAUUACGUCCCUGCCCUUUGUACACACCGCCCGUCGCUCCUACCGAUUGAAUGGUCCGGUGAAGCGUUCGGACCGCGGCCUUUGGACGGUUCGCCGUCUGUUGGCUGCGGGAAGUUCGUUAAACCUUAUCAUUUAGAGGAAGGAGAAGUCGUAACA
rnacentral:rRNA from 1 species